rnacentral:rRNA from 1 species
UACGGAGGGGACUAGCGUUGUUCGGAAUUACUGGGCGUAAAGCGCACGUAGGCGGAUCUGUAAGUCAGGGGUGAAAUCCCGGGGCUCAACCUCGGAACUGCCUUUGAUACUGCAAAUCUCGAGUCCGGAAGAGGUGAGUGGAAUUCCUAGUGUAGAGGUGAAAUUCGUAGAUAUUAGGAAGAACACCAGUGGCGAUGGCGGCUCACUGGUCCGGUACUGACGCUGAGGUGCGAAAGCGCGGGGAGCAAACAGG